rnacentral:rRNA from 1 species
CGCGUAGGCGGUGAAUUGGGUGUGGUGUGAAAGCCCCGGGCUUAACCUGGGAAGUGCAUCGCAAACUAAUUGACUGGAGUAGAUGAGAGGGUGGCGGAAUUUCCGGUGUAGCGGUGAAAUGCGUAGAGAUCGGAAGGAACGUCAAUGGCGAAGGCAGCCACCUGGCAUCAUACUGACGCUGAGGCGCGAGAGCGUGGGGGAGCGAACA